CCCUUAGAUGUUCUGGGCUGCACGCGCGCUACACUGAUGCGAUCAACAAGUUUUUCCUAUGUCGAUAGACACGGUUAAUCUUUUGAACUCGCAUCGUGAUGGGGAUAGAUUAUUGUAAUUAUUAAUCUUCAACGAGGAAUUCCUAGUAGGUGCAAAUCAUCAGUUUGCAUCGAUUACGUCCCUGCCCUUUGUACACACCGCCCGUCGCUGCUACCGAUUGGUUGAUCUGGUGAAUUAUUCGGACUGCCGGCUGAAGGGGUUUCCUCAUCUGCCAGCGGAAAGUCUUGUUAACCCUAUCAACUAGAGGAAGCAGAAGUCGUAACA
rnacentral:rRNA from 1 species